rnacentral:rRNA from 1 species
GGUUCUAGUGGCGGACGGGUGAGUAACGCGUGGGUACCUGCCUUAUACUGGGGGAUAACAGCCAGAAAUGACUGCUAAUACCGCAUAAGACCGCAUGGUAAAAACUCCGGUGGUAUAAGAUGGACCCGCGUUGGAUUAGCUAGUUGGCAGGGCAGCGGCCUACCAAGGCGACGAUCCAUAGCCGGCCUGAGAGGGUGAACGGCCACAUUGGGACUGAGACACGGCCCAGACUCCUACGGGAGGCAGCAGUGGGGAAUAUUGCACAAUGGGGGAAACCCUGAUGCAGCGACGCCGCGUGAAGGAAGAAGUAUCUCGGUAUGUAAACUUCUAUCAGCAGGGAAGAUAAUGACGGUACCUGACUAAGAAGCCCCGGCUAACUACGUGCCAGCAGCCGCGGUAAUACGUAGGGGGCAAGCGUUAUCCGGAUUUACUGGGUGUAAAGGGAGCGUAGACGGCGCAGCAAGUCUGAUGUGAAAGCAGGGGCUUAACCCCUGGACUGCAUUGGAAACUGCUGUGCUUGAGUGCCGGAGGGGUAAGCGGAAUUCCUAGUGUAGCGGUGAAAUG